rnacentral:rRNA from 1 species
AGAGUUUGAUCCUGGCUCAGAACGAACGCUGGCGGCAGGCUUAACACAUGCAAGUCGAGCGCCCCGCAAGGGGAGCGGCAGACGGGUGAGUAACGCGUGGGAACGUGCCUUUUGGUUCGGAACAACUCCGGGAAACUGGAGCUAAUACCGGAUAAGCCCUUACGGGGGAAAGAUUUAGCGCCAAAAGAUCGGCCCGCGGCUGAUUAGCGAGUUGGUGAGGUAAUGGCGCACCAAGGCGACGAUCAGGAGCUGGGACUGAGAGGAUGAGCAGCCACACUUGGACUGAGACACGGCCCAGACGCCUACGGGAGGCAGCAGUGGGGAAGAUUGGACAAUGGGCGCAAGCCUGAUCCAGCCAUGCCGCGUGAGUGAUGAAGGC